UACGUAGGGUGCAAGCGUUAAUCGGAAUUACUGGGCGUAAAGCGUGCGCAGGCGGUUGUGCAAGACCGAUGUGAAAUCCCCGGGCUUAACCUGGGAAUGGCAUUGGUGACUGCACGGCUAGAGUGUGUCAGAGGGGGGUAGAAUUCCACGUGUAGCAGUGAAAUGCGUAGAGAUGUGGAGGAAUACCGAUGGCGAAGGCAGCCCCCUGGGAUAACACUGACGCUCAUGCACGAAAAGCGUGGGGGAGCAAACAGG
rnacentral:rRNA from 1 species